GUACAGAGGAGGGCACCUGGCACCUGGGUUGGAACAGAAGCAUGUAAACCACAGACUUGCUCACCCCAUGCCCUCUCUGCAUCCAUAGUGACCUGGCAGUGGGACUCUCCACUCUGGGCAUGGGGGAGGGGGCACAUGAGAUGAUUGAGAUGGGGCUGUUUACCCCUCGGGACGCUGGGGAGGCAGAAAGCACAGGCCUAAAAUGACUGUCUACAUUUCUGAGAACACAUAAGAGUCUUUGAGUUCUUAACAAUUGUCAGGUCCUGUUCUCACCAGGGACACCACCCCAUGAGGCUGGUAUUAUUAUUCUCAUCCCAUGUUAUGGAUGAGGAAACUGAGGCCCCAGGGGAAGAUGAAUGAUGUGGCCAAGGUCACAGAGCCGGUCGGGACAGAGUUGGAAUUUGAAGCCAAGCCAUGGGGCCCUGGAGCUUGGCACAGUACCUGUACACUGAGAUUGCCAUUUGGCUCAGAAGGAGGCCAUUUUAGCAAAGUGAAAGGAGGGAGAAUUUUCAGGACUUUUGCUUCUUACUCCUGAAUGGAAACCUGUGACUCUGAAUGGGUCCUGUCUGCAAAGAAUUUAACAUCAGCGUUCCUGUUGUGACUCAUGGGUUCAGGAUCUGGCGUUGCUGCAACCUGUGGCUUAGGUUGCAGAUGCAGCUCAGAUCCUGUGUUGCUGUGGCUGUCGGGUAGGCUAUCAGUUGCAGCUCUGAUUCCACCCCCCACCAGGGAACUGUAGGUGCAACUGUAAAAAGAAAAAUAAAAGAAUUUAAUAUCAACAAUAAUCAGGAGCACUGGGGCCAGGUCUUAAAUAGGAACCUUAGGAAGAUUUUGUGAUGAGCAGAAUUACAGAUGAUGUAAGAUCACACUUCUUCAAGGCUAGGUCUUUGGAAAAAGAAAGCAAUCAUUUCAAUGGGCACAGGUGGCCUCUCUCUGCAUGUCAGGCCAGCACCUCCCUAGGACACUGAUGGGUCAAGGGGAGAAAUUGUGGACCACUGCAAGUUUUGCAGAAGAGGGAAUUUCAUUUCAUUGCUCCAUGCAGACUCGCCUCUGACCUUGAGAUGUGGCCCUCGGAUGCCUGUAUCCCUUAACCAGAGCUUGUCACUGCCCCCUCACAGCAGAGGCCACAGUGGCCCUCCACUCUCCAGUCUCCUUUUCUCCCCCCUGUACUAGAACUCUAGUUUAUAAUUGAUUUGAGUAAGAUAAAGUCUGCAUUUCCCAGCCUCUCUUGCAGCUGUAUGAGCCAGGCCCUGUGCAUUUAUUCUGAGCCAGGCCCUAUGCUAAAUGCUGGUUAAGAUAAAGGUACAUAAGGUGUGAACCUGUCCUCAGGCAGCCAGUCUGUCCAUCAGUCAUUGAUUUGGCAAUCUGUUGAGUACUUAAUUGAUCUAUCAAUCAAUCAGUAUUUCAGCUACUUGAUCAGUGGCCAGACUUUUGCCUUGUCAGCCAUUGGUCCUAGUAUUGAACUCUCAGGAUGCAUGGAGAGGGGACUUUGGACACAGUCCUGGGAUUGUAGAAUUUGAUGCCAGGCAUAAGGAUGAACCUCCAAGAAAUCAACAUACCGUUAUCUUACUUCAUACACAAAAAUUAGCCAAAGACUUAAAUGUAAGACAUGAUGCUAUUUUCUUCUCCCAGAAUGAAAUGUAAGGGAAAAACUCCUUCACAUUGGUAUUGGUAGUGCUUUUUUUGGAUAUGACACCAAAAGCACUUACAACGAAAGCAAAAAUGGGCAAGUGGAAUUACAUCAAACUAAAAAGCUUCUGUACAGCAAAGGAAACAGUCAACAAAAUAAGGGAGGUCUCUGAUGGCUUAGCGGGUAGAGACUUCUGUGUUUCUCACCGCUGUGGCUCUGAUUGCUGCUGUGUGGCGUAGGUUCAAUGCCUGGCCCAGAAAUUUCCACAUACUGCCUGUGUGGCCAAAAAAAAAAAAAAAAAAAAAA
rnacentral:lncRNA from 1 species